rnacentral:rRNA from 1 species
AGCGUACACGGUGGAUGCCCUGGCAGUCAGAGGCGAUGAAGGACGUGCUAAUCUGCGAAAAGCGUCGGUAAGGUGAUAUGAACCGUUAUAACCGGCGAUGUCCGAAUGGGGAAACCCAGUGCAAUUCGUUGCACUAUCGUUAACUGAAUACAUAGGUUAACGAGGCGAACCGGGGGAACUGAAACAUCUAAGUACCCCGAGGAAAAGAAAUCAACCGAGAUUCCCCCAGUAGCGGCGAGCGAACGGGGAGCAGCCCAGAGUCUGAAUCAGCUUGUGUGUUAGUGGAACGGUCUGGAAAGUCCGACGGUACAGGGUGAUAGUCCCGUACACCAAAAUGCACAGGUUGUGAACUCGAAGAGUAGGGCGGGACACGUGGUAUCCUGUCUGAAUAUGGGGGGACCAUCCUCCAAGGCUAAAUACUCCUGACUGACCGAUAGUGAACCAGUACCGUGAGGGAAAGGCGAAAAGAACCCCGGCGAGGGGAGUGAAAAAGAACCUGAAACCGUGUACGUACAAGCAGUGGGAGCACCUUCGGGUGUGACUGCGUACCUUUUGUAUAAUGGGUCAGCGACUUAUAUUCUGUAGCAAGGUUAACCGUAUAGGGGAGCCGCAGGGAAACCGAGUCUUAACUGGGCGUUAAGUUGCAGGGUAUAGACCCGAAACCCGGUGAUCUAGCCAUGGGCAGGUUGAAGGUUGGGUAACACUAACUGGAGGACCGAACCGACUAAUGUUGAAAAAUUAGCGGAUGACUUGUGGCUGGGGGUGAAAGGCCAAUCAAACCGGGAGAUAGCUGGUUCUCCCCGAAAGCUAUUUAGGUAGCGCCUCGUGAAUUCAUCUUCGGGGGUAGAGCACUGUUUCGGCUAGGGGGUCAUCCCGACUUACCAACCCGAUGCAAACUACGAAUACCGAAGAAUGUUAUCACGGGAGACACACGGCGGGUGCUAACGUCCGUCGUGAAGAGGGAAACAACCCAGACCGCCAGCUAAGGUCCCAAAGUCAUGGUUAAGUGGGAAACGAUGUGGGAAGGCACAGACAGCCAGGAUGUUGGCUUAGAAGCAGCCAUCAUUUAAAGAAAGCGUAAUAGCUCACUGGUCGAGUCGGCCUGCGCGGAAGAUGUAACGGGGCUAAACCAUGCACCGAAGCUGCGGCAGCGACACUAUGUGUUGUUGGGUAGGGGAGCGUUCUGUAAGCCUGCGAAGGUGUGCUGUGAGGCAUGCUGGAGGUAUCAGAAGUGCGAAUGCUGACAUAAGUAACGAUAAAGCGGGUGAAAAGCCCGCUCGCCGGAAGACCAAGGGUUCCUGUCCAACGUUAAUCGGGGCAGGGUGAGUCGACCCCUAAGGCGAGGCCGAAAGGCGUAGUCGAUGGGAAACAGGUUAAUAUUCCUGUACUUGGUGUUACUGCGAAGGGGGGACGGAGAAGGCUAUGUUAGCCGGGCGACGGUUGUCCCGGUUUAAGCAUGUAGGCUGGUUAUCCAGGCAAAUCCGGAUAAUCAAGGCUGAGGUGUGAUGACGAGGCACUACGGUGCUGAAGUAACAAAUGCCCUGCUUCCAGGAAAAGCCUCUAAGCAUCAGGUAACAUCAAAUCGUACCCCAAACCGACACAGGUGGUCAGGUAGAGAAUACCAAGGCGCUUGAGAGAACUCGGGUGAAGGAACUAGGCAAAAUGGUGCCGUAACUUCGGGAGAAGGCACGCUGGUGUGUAGGUGAAGCCCCUGCGGGUGGAGCUGAGACCAGUCGAAGAUACCAGCUGGCUGCAACUGUUUAUUAAAAACACAGCACUGUGCAAACACGAAAGUGGACGUAUACGGUGUGACGCCUGCCCGGUGCCGGAAGGUUAAUUGAUGGGGUUAUCCGUAAGGAGAAGCUCUUGAUCGAAGCCCCGGUAAACGGCGGCCGUAACUAUAACGGUCCUAAGGUAGCGAAAUUCCUUGUCGGGUAAGUUCCGACCUGCACGAAUGGCGUAAUGAUGGCCAGGCUGUCUCCACCCGAGACUCAGUGAAAUUGAACUCGCUGUGAAGAUGCAGUGUACCCGCGGCAAGACGGAAAGACCCCGUGAACCUUUACUAUAGCUUGACACUGAACAUUGAGCCUUGAUGUGUAGGAUAGGUGGGAGGCUUUGAAGCGUGGACGCCAGUCUGCGUGGAGCCAACCUUGAAAUACCACCCUUUAAUGUUUGAUGUUCUAACGUUGGCCCCUGACCGGGGUUGCGGACAGUGUCUGGUGGGUAGUUUGACUGGGGCGGUCUCCUCCCAAAGCGUAACGGAGGAGCACGAAGGUUAGCUAAUCCUGGUCGGACAUCAGGAGGUUAGUGCAAUGGCAUAAGCUAGCUUGACUGCGAGCGUGACGGCGCGAGCAGGUGCGAAAGCAGGUCAUAGUGAUCCGGUGGUUCUGAAUGGAAGGGCCAUCGCUCAACGGAUAAAAGGUACUCCGGGGAUAACAGGCUGAUACCGCCCAAGAGUUCAUAUCGACGGCGGUGUUUGGCACCUCGAUGUCGGCUCAUCACAUCCUGGGGCUGAAGUAGGUCCCAAGGGUAUGGCUGUUCGCCAUUUAAAGUGGUACGCGAGCUGGGUUUAGAACGUCGUGAGACAGUUCGGUCCCUAUCUGCCGUGGGCGCUGGAGAAUUGAGGGGGGCUGCUCCUAGUACGAGAGGACCGGAGUGGACGCAUCACUGGUGUUCGGGUUGUCAUGCCAAUGGCACUGCCCGGUAGCUAAAUGCGGAAGAGAUAAGUGCUGAAAGCAUCUAAGCACGAAACUUGCCCCGAGAUGAGUUCU